rnacentral:rRNA from 1 species
UCCGUAGGUGAACCUGCGGAAGGAUCAUUAAUGAAUUACAAGUCGGUCCUCUGUGCUGGUGGCAACACAUGUGCACGAGGGUCGCAAAUCCACACACCUGUGCAUCUUUGACUCUGAGGGCGAUCUUGGUCGCCAGCUUGAUUUGACAUCAGUCGGAUCAGACUUGGAGUAUUUUUACACACUCUGAAUGUAAAUGAAUGUAUCUGUGCAUAACGCGCAAAUAAACAACUUUCAACAACGGAUCUCUUGGCUCUCGCAUCGAUGAAGAACGCAGCGAAAUGCGAUAAGUAAUGUGAAUUGCAGAAUUCAGUGAAUCAUCGAAUCUUUGAACGCACCUUGCACCCUUUGGUAUUCCGAAGGGUACGCCCGUUUGAGUGUCAUUGUAAUCUCACAUCAACAACUUUUGUUGUGGAUGGUGGACCUGGACGUAUGUUGUGUCAACAACUCGUCUGAAAUGUAUGAGUGUACCCUGCCUUGCAGCGUAUCCAGUGUGAUAAGCAUCUUCACUGGUUCAGCCUUCACGGGCGACGCCUCGGCCACAGGUAGUAUGCUUCUAAUCGUCCCUCUGGACAAAUAACCUUGACAAUUUGACCUCAAAUCGGGUGGGACUACCCGCUGAACUUAAGCAUAUCAAUAAGCGGAGGAAAAGAAACUAACAAGGAUU